rnacentral:snRNA from 1 species
GCCCUCGACCUAUUCUCAAA